rnacentral:piRNA from 1 species
GAAAAAGAAGAAAGGACAAAAGA